UCAUUUUAUAUAUUUAUAUAUCGCCCCACCAAUAGAAGAUGUGGUCUGUCCUACCACUGAUUUCCUGGGAAUAAUCUCUCAUUAACCCUCUCCCAUUUAUUUAGAUUGGGUCCCGUUGAUCAAUGGGAAAGGCUAUUCCUUUUUAAUGUGCCCUCUCAGUCACAUUUUUCUCCAUAAAAAAUCACUAGCCGAACCGAGAGGUUUGCUCAUCUCCAAGCAGCAGAUUGCGUAUUGUUGCUGUCGUAGUCACAGUCACAGUCAUCAGAGCAGCAGCCAUCAUCAUCGCCAUCAUCAUCAUCGUCACAAUCAUCGCCCAUCGUAAUCGGCAGACGGCAUCUCAUCGACCUUUCCCCUUAGACGACAGGCCGGCUAUACAGUUUGGAAGCCUGAAAGCCCGGCAAAGCGGGGCCAAGCAGGGAGCUACUUGGCCAACCCAUGCCAGCGGCGACCCGGACGGCGUUGAUUCGUGGGAAGUUACGGUCUAUACUACUUUCCGGGAAGUAGUCCCUCACAUGGAGAGCUUUGAAAGCCCUCUAAGAAUUCCACUACUUUCAUAGUCAUGUUCAUAAGUUUAGUCAAACAAGUUCCUGCUAUUGACAUUGGUAACUAUUCAACUAUUCUAAUAUUUUCGUUAUAGUGUUUAUAAUUUGUGCCCCUCGGCAGUGAUGCUAAACUCUGGCAUAUUGUUAUUUCCGUAAUUAGGUUGCAGUCUGCUUUCUCUCUAUACUAUCAAUGCAAAAUUGUUCCCCUGAAUUUCAAUAUAAAUAAUUGAUAAUAUCAGGUACCAUGGGCAGAUAUGUCAGGUCUAUGUAUGUACGUACCUCAGGGUAUUUUAGGAAUAACUUUAAACAGCAGAUUUGAAGUUUUCAGUGCACCAUGUCACUCCACUAAUGUCAGCCCUAAGGUUCAAACGAUCGAGGACAUUCUGGCGAUUUAGAGAAGCUGUGGCCUGCCCAGAUAGAACAAGAACAAUAACGGAGGAAAGUCCACAAAUAGCAGUUCUUGAUAAUGACUCCAUCGUGAAUGUUCCCCUGAUCACAGGAAGCCAUAUCACUCCCAAAUUGGGCCACAAAUAGCGGAGACAUCAGCAUACAACAUAUGUACAUAUGUAUACUCGGAUGUCAGAGUCCUUAUCCAAGGAUCAAGAAUAUCAACAACGCCGCCGAAUCAAGGGCUGGGCUUCAGCUUCGAAACACAGGACUUAUGUACCUUACGCUUUGGCAUAAAGAGAGAGUAGUAUCCGAUUGCGCCUAGACGGAGUCCUAUCCCAGCCAGACCGAUUCGUAUCCCAGCCAGACCGAAUCGUAUCCCAGCUGGACAGAAGCGCACCCCCUUCAAGAGCGCGAAACUAACAAGCCGCCAUCAUCCUUCGACCUGGCCAUCGACAACUAUCUCAAGGACUUCGGCUAUGGCAACCAAGGCAGGGGCUACGCGGACUACUAGACUAUAGAUAGACCUUGUUGUUGUUAGGUUUAAGUAUAUAUACGUCUAUGCGUUUAGAUAAUAGAUGUAAAUGGAGUCCACUUAAGAUGUAAUUAUUUAUACUAAGUUAGGUUAUAAUGAAUAAAAGUAUGAAAACCCA
rnacentral:sRNA from 1 species